GAGUUUGAUCCUGGCUCAGGACGAACGCUGGCGGCGUGCUUAACACAUGCAAGUUGAACGGGUCAUAUGUGAAGGGUAACCGGAAUAUAUGGCUAGUGGCGAACGGGUGAGUAAUACAUGAGGACGUAUCCUCGAGAGGGGGACAACAUUGGGAAACCGAUGCUAAUACCCCAUAAGCCGAGAGGUAAAAGGGAGCGAUCCGCUUGAGGAGCGGCUCAUGUCCUAUCAGCUAGUUGGUGAGGUAACGGCUCACCAAGGCGAAGACGGGUAGCCGGCCUGAGAGGGUGACCGGCCACACUGGAACUGAGAGACGGUCCAGACUCCUACGGGAGGCAGCAGUGGGGAAUAUUGGGCAAUGGGGGCAACCCUGACCCAGCGACGCCGCGUGAGGGAAGAAGGCCUUAGGGUCGUAAACCUCUGUUGUGUGGGAAGAAGGAAGUGACGGUACCACACGAGGAAGUCCCGGCUAACUACGUGCCAGCAGCCGCGGUAAUACGUAGGGGACGAGCGUUGUCCGGAAUUACUGGGCGUAAAGGGCGCGUAGGCGGUCAUUUAAGUCAGCUGUGAAAUGGUCCGGCUCAACCGGAUCAUGCGGUUGAAACUGGAUGACUGGAGUGCUGGAGAGGCAAGUGGAAUUCCCAGUGUAGCGGUGAAAUGCGUAGAUAUUGGGAAGAACACCGGUGGCGAAGGCGACUUGCUGGCCAGCAACUGACGCUGAGGCGCGAAAGCCAGGGGAGCAAACGGGAUUAGAUACCCCGGUAGUCCUGGGCGUAAACGAUGAAUGCUANGUGUGGGCAUCGAGAGGUGUCCGUGCCGGAGCUAACGCGAUAAGCAUUCCGCCUGGGGAGUACGAU
rnacentral:rRNA from 1 species